rnacentral:rRNA from 1 species
AGAUGCUAAUACCGCAAUAAAACCUAACACCGCAUGGUGUAGGGUUGAAAGAUGGUUUCGGCUAUCACUUUAGGAUGGACCCGCGGUGCAUUAGUUAGUUGGUGAGGUAAAGGCUCGCCAAGACCGUGAUGCAUAGCCGACCUGAGAGGGUAAUCGGCCACACUGGGACUGAGACACGGCCCAGACUCCUACGGGAGGCAGCAGUAGGGAACCUUCCACAAUGGACGAAAGUCUGAUGGAGCAACGCCGCGUGAGUGAAGAAGGUUUUCGGAUCGUAAAACUCUGUUGUUGGAGAAGAAUGUAUCUGAUAGUAACUGAUCAGGUAGUGACGGUAUCCAACCAGAAAGCCACGGCUAACUACGUG